rnacentral:lncRNA from 1 species
UCCAUUCCUAACCACAUUUUUUCUCUCUCCUUUUUUUUUAAUUUUCUUGCUUAAUAAACGCAGAGACCACAUUACAAAAUAAAAAUGGCACGCCAACUUGUUGUUCUUGCUUUGGUUUUGAUUGCCCUCAUCGGCGUGGUUUCUGCCGCCGCACCUGCUUCCGACUCUAAGGCAGCCGCCUCAUCCCCCGGUAGCAGCCCUGUGUUGUUCCAAUAGGGUCGGAAGCGUGUAAAUUAUUGUACUAAAAAAUCACACAAAGUUCAAUUCCCAGGGAAGAGAGGUGGAUCACAAGGAUCUCUUAAAUACCAAGUCUUUCCUUAGUCAGAAUAUUCCUUCUAACGUAAUUUAAUAGCACAAUUAAAUACUACUAUUAUACCCUCAAAUAUUGAAAGAAAAAUAGGACAAAAAGAACAUAAGAGUUUUAACG